rnacentral:miRNA from 11 species
ACAGGCUAGAUUCUCAGGUAU